AGAGUUUGAUCAUGGCUCAGAGCGAACGUUAGCGGCAGGCCUAACACAUGCAAGUCGCACGAGAAUCUGGCUUCGGCCAGUAGUAAAGUGGCGGACGGGUGCGUAACACGUGGAUAAUCUGCCCUUCGGCGGGGGACAACAGUCCGAAAGGAUUGCUAAUACCGCAUAAGUCGGCGAGGUCUUCGGAUCUUGUCGGGAAA
rnacentral:rRNA from 1 species